GACGAACGCUGGCGGCGUGCCUAAUACAUGCAAGUCGAACGCAGUGGGGACGGGUGAGUAACACGUGGGUAACCUCCCAUCAGAGGGGAUAACCCUUGGAAACAGGUGCUAAACCGAUACUGAUGGAUGGACCCGGGGUGCAUUAGCUAGUUGGUGAGGUAACGGCUCACAAAGGCCACGAUGCCUCGCCGACCGGAGAGGAGGAUGGGCCACAUGGUAACUGGGACACGCCCAAGACUCCUACGGGAGGCAGCAGUGGGGAAUCUUCGGAAAUGGACGAAAGUCUGACCGAGCAAGGCCGCGGAAGUGAAGAAGGUUUUCGGAUCGUAAAACUCUGUGGUUGGAGAAGCGGUACCUACCCAAAAAGCCACGGCUAACUACGGGCCAGCAGCCGCGGUAAUUC
rnacentral:rRNA from 1 species